UUAUAUUGACUUCAAGAGCUUUGCGCUGAAGCAUGUUGGAACGCCCCUAACUGAAAGAGAAAGAUACCUACUUUGUUUGGGGCUGGUCAAUCCUGGAGACUGAAACUUGGAAGGCAAGCUGAGGUUAAGUAUUGGCAAAACUACAGUGAGACUUACUGGAAAUGACAGCCCACUUCCUGCUGAACCGUGAGGAAAUGAGGAAAAGAGUCCAUUUGAUACUUGAGACAAAAUUAAAUGACAAAGUACAAUUGAGAAAGGCCAGACAGCAAAGAUAACAGGCCAAUGGUGGGAUUAUCCUUCUCCUUCUAAGUCACCUGAAAUCCAAAAUAUUAGAACAUUGCUUUGAGUUACACACUGAACAGUUCUUACUAAGCGUCUACUGUCUGCACCACAGCAUGGGAUGCACUUCCAAUGUCAGUGUAUUGGCUACCGGCCUGUUUCUCCCUCUCAGCCAGAAGAUAAACAAACCCAUUUGUUUGAAUUGGAAAAAUGACAGUCAAUGCUCUGCAGAUCUUCCAUGUGAAAAACUGUGUCUUUAAAACAAAACAAAAAGAAGCUUAAGUGGUGCUGGAAUUUUGACAGUGUUGUCACAAAGUGCUGCCCAUUAAAAGCAAUUAGCCAUUGUUCUUAUUAACUGGAUAUGCAGCUUAAUGCAGCUCAAAGGGCUCACAGUCUGAAUCUGAUUUGCUUACUUUUUUGCAAAUAAUUAUGACUCAAGGGAAGACUCAGUAGAUCUACCUAAAAUUAUAAGUGUGUGUUCAUUUUGCUCCCUUAGAAACAGUAUCCUGUUAUUUGUAUCCACCUUCUAGAAUAUGAUCUUUUCCAGUGGACAAGUAUGGUUUGCUUGGCAAAAGAAUGCAUAAGGACAUCCAUUUAUGUCUAUUAAUUUGGCUAAGAGAUAAAGCAAGAGAAUGGUGGGUAAUGACCUUUCUAGCUACAUCGUUCCUGAAAGCUCACUGCAGUGGAUUCUGAAGCAAAGUGUUCUUUUGAGAAGGACUAAUCACAACUGAAAAAUAACUCAAAUCUUACUAGAAAGUUUCUACAUCCUUAAAUGGUAAGGGACCUAUAAGUAUGAAGUUUGAUAGGAAAUCUGUUUCAAGGUCAUUCUGACCUUGAAGCAAGCUGGGACACAAGCAAUCUCCAUGUGGCUCUUCCCAUGGCCCAAAACUAUUGUGAGGUUAUUCAGAAACAACAAAGGACACCUGCUGAGUUUGAAGACAGAAGGGCAAAUAUCCAUUACUGCAUUGUUGUGGCAUCUCUGACAUUUGCUCACCAGUGCCUGAGCCGUCCAUGGGACCCCAACAGCCCAGGGUGAUGGAAAAGUCUGUGGGACUUAUUUGGUUUCUCCCAUGACUGAGCUGACUAGCAAGGCUGAGAAGCUGCCAUGAU